rnacentral:rRNA from 1 species
GAUGAACGCUGGCGGCGUGCCUAAUACAUGCAAGUCGAGCGAACAGACGAGGAGCUUGCUCCUUCGACGUUAGCGGCGGACGGGUGAGUAACACGUAGGUAACCUACCUAUAAGACUGGGAUAACUUCGGGAAACCGGAGCUAAUACCGGAUAAUAUUUCGAACCGCAUGGUUCGAUAGUGCAAGAUGGCUUUGCUAUCACUUAUAGAUGGACCUGCGCCGUAUUAGCUAGUUGGUAAGGUAACGGCUUACCAAGGCAACGAUACGUAGCCGACCUGAGAGGGUGAUCGGCCACACUGGAACUGAGACACGGUCCAGACGCCUACGGGAGGCAUCAGUAGGGAAUCUUCCGCAAUGGGCGAAAGCCUGACGGAGAAACGCCGCGUGAGUGAUGAAGGUCUUCGGAUCGUAAAACUCUGUUAUUAGGGAAUAACAAACGUGUAAGUAACUGUGCACGUCGUGACGGUACCUAACCAGAAAGCCACGGCUAACUACGUG